rnacentral:rRNA from 1 species
UGGGGAAUAUUGGGCAAUGGGCGCAAGCCUGACCCAGCAACGCCGCGUGAAGGAAGAAGGCCCUCGGGUUGUAAACUUCUUUUGACAGGGACGAAACAAAUGACGGUACCUGUCGAAUAAGCCACGGCUAACUACGUGCCAGCAGCCGCGGUAAUACGUAGGUGGCAAGCGUUAUCCGGAUUUACUGGGUGUAAAGGGCGUGUAGGCGGGCUGGCAAGUCAGAUGUGAAAACCAUGGGCUCAACCCAUGGCCUGCAUUUGAAACUGUUGGUCUUGAGUGCUGGAGAGGCAAUCGGAAUUCCGUGUGUAGCGGUGAAAUGCGUAGAUAUACGGAGGAACACCAGUGGCGAAGGCGGAUUGCUGGACAGUAACUGACGCUGAGGCGCGAAAGCGUGGGGAGCAAACAGG